rnacentral:lncRNA from 1 species
UUUACUUCAUUUGAAACUAGACUCAUUAAGGAGUCUAAGAAUAUAAAUUUUAUCUUAUAAUCAUCAUUGUACAAUUUACAAUGAUUUUCUAAAGACAGAACAGGGGAUUUCAAAGUCAUUUUGACUCUGUGUCACUCCACUUCAAAUAUCUCAUUAUCUAAAAUUCUUUUGCUUACAUGGUUUCUCUUAUAAGAAACUAGACUCAUUAAGCUUUAAUUUCAUAAUUUAUUCAGCUUCUAAUUCAAUUUCCACAAUUUAUGAUGAUUUUCCAAAAUCACGCUACAGUUGCUGUCCCAAGCAGAUUUAUUACAAAUUUGCUCUUUCACACAUUCCUUGCAUUCAAAUUAUCUAAACAUGUAUAUCAUGUCAUUCAAGAUCGAACUCAUAUAACAUAGGCAUUAAAAUGCUUCACUAUCAGCUUUAGUUCAAUUGAAACGAAUGAAAUACAAUAUCAUAUUCACAUUUAAUUUUCCAAGAUCGUUAUCACCUAAAAAUAAAAUCAUAUACUUCUACAAAGCUUUCCACAAGGACCAAGUGUUUAUAUUUGAAUAUAAACAUAGAAUCACUUCACAUAACUUCACAUAUUUACCGAAUAUAUCACAAUCACAUUUAUAGUCAUAACACUUAUUCACAGAUGCAUCACUUUAUAUAUUUAUAAUUUAAUUCAAAUCAAAAUCGCAUACGAGUACAUGAUACAUACCUGGCCAACUUAAUAUGUAAUGCACUUUCAAUUUGUCAACUUAGUGUAGGAUCUUGUAAUUGUAUACUUUUAUCAAAUUCAUCGGCACUUGGCCCACUAGGUAUAAAACCCUAAAUUAUAUUAUCAGCACAAAGCCUGCGGGACUUUAACCGGGAUACAUUUCUAGCACGAAGCCUGCGGGACUUUGGCCCGGAUACAUUUCCAGCACGAAGCCUGCGGGACUUUGGCCCGGAUACAUUUCCAGCACGAAGCCUGCGGGACUUUAGUCCGGAUACAUUUCCAGCACGAAGCCUGUGGGACUUUGGCCCGGAUAUAUUUCCAGCACGAAGCCUGCGGGACUUUAGCCCGGAUACAUUUCCAGCACGAAGCCUGCGGGACUUUAGCCCGGAUACAUUUUUAGUGUCUUGCAUAUUUAUUCACAUGUUAACACAUUUCACAUAACAUUUCACAUUAGCAAUUUAAUUGCUUCAUUCGAAUAUAAGCACGAAAUGUACACCUACCUUUCGGUUCAAUAAUCAUACACAAGGAACACAUAAUCUUUUCAUUAUCCUAGUUUCACUUUUAAUAACCAUUCGACUAUAUGCCAUAUUCACAAAUUAUUUCACACACAACCUCGAUCAAGUAGGAACAAUAGUCACAAUUCAUCUAUUAUACAAAUAUUCCAUUCUUUGACUUUGUUUCAUAAUAGCUAUUCUGUCACCACAUAUAUACCAUUCAACUCACAUUCGACUUUAUACAAACAAGUACAAUAAAAUUGUAUACACAUAUUACACACUUUCACAUCAUCACUUAAUAGUCAUUCGGCCACAUUAUAUGCAUAAAUCAUCCAUUUCAUAUUCGGCUUUAUAGCCGAAAUUCAAUAUACUUAUUGCAAUUCGAACUUGUAAACGUCAAAUAAUUACUUAUCAUAUUAUAUAAUCUUAAGCGCGCAGCAAAUCAAAUAUAAUUACUUAAGGACUUACCUCGGAAGACGAUAAUCGGAACGAGACGACUAAUCGACCAUUUUGAUUUUCCCCCCGAUCCAAAUCCGAAUUCUACUUUUGCCAAUCUAAUUAAUAUCAAAAUUAACUCACUUAUUCAACAUUUCAUUAAAUUUUAUCUAAAGACACAUAAUUUGGUCAUUUUUCAUUUUAUCCCCUAACAUUUCACAUUUUUACAAUUUAAUCCCUAUUUCAAAAUAACACAAAUUACUCAAAAUUUCAUCAAACCCAUGUUAGGCCGAAUUUACCUUAGGUCUCUAACAACCCAUUUCUUUUAUUUAUUUCACGUUUUGACCCAUAAAUUUACAAAUUUCUAAAUUUAGUCCUUAAUACACAUUUUUAUCAAAAAUCACUUAAUCAAACAUGAAAAUCAAACAUCAAAGAUUUAUUACUCAUCAUCAAACAACAAGAUACUCAAACAUUCAAUAAUGGCAUCAUCCAAAUACUUUAACAAUUUUAAAAUUAGAGGUACGGGCCAGCUAGAUUACGAAGCAACGAUCUCAAAAACGUAAAAAUUAUUAAAAACCGAGACGACAUGGACUUACAUGCAUGAACAACCAUGGCCGAACCUUCAAAGCUUUGAGAGCAUUAUUUUCUUUCUCACAUUCGGCUAUUGAUGAAGAUGAUA